rnacentral:rRNA from 1 species
CACAUGCAAGUCGAGGGGAAACGACAUCGAAAGCUUGCUUUUGAUGGGCGUCGACCGGCGCACGGGUGAGUAACGCGUAUCCAACCUGCCCACCACUUGGGGAUAACCUUGCGAAAGUAAGACUAAUACCCAAUGAUAUCUCUAGAAGACAUCUGAAAGAGAUUAAAGAUUUAUCGGUGAUGGAUGGGGAUGCGUCUGAUUAGCUUGUUGGCGGGGUAACGGCCCACCAAGGCGACGAUCAGUAGGGGUUCUGAGAGGAAGGUCCCCCACAUUGGAACUGAGACACGGUCCAAACUCCUACGGGAGGCAGCAGUGAGGAAUAUUGGUCAAUGGACGAGAGUCUGAACCAGCCAAGUAGCGUGCAGGAAGACGGCCCUAUGGGUUGUAAACUGCUUUUAUAAGGGAAUAAAGUGAGUCUCGUGAGACUUUUUGCAUGUACCUUAUGAAUAAGGACCGGCUAAUUCCGUGCCAGCAGCCGCGGUAAUACGGAAGGUCCGGGCGUUAUCCGGAUUUAUUGGGUUUAAAGGGAGCGUAGGCCGGAGAUUAAGCGUGUUGUGAAAUGUAGACGCUCAACGUCUGCACUGCAGCGCGAACUGGUCUUCUUGAGUACGCACAACGUGGGCGGAAUUCGUGGUGUAGCGGUGAAAUGCUUAGAUAUCACGAAGAACUCCGAUUGCGAAGGCAGCUCACGGGAGCGCAACUGACGCUGAAGCUCGAAAGUGCGGGUAUCGAACAGGAUUAGAUACCCUGGUAGUCCGCACGGUAAACGAUGGAUGCCCGCUGUUGGCCUGAAUAGGUCAGCGGUCAAGCGAAAGCAUUAAGCAUCCCACCUGGGGAGUACGCCGGCAACGGUGAAACUCAAAGGAAUUGACGGGGGCCCGCACAAGCGGAGGAACAUGUGGUUUAAUUCGAUGAUACGCGAGGAA